GGAGGAGCCGCCUGAGGAGCCGGAGGAGCCGGAGGAGCAGCCGGCGGAGCAGCCCUUCGGCUCCUACGAGCAGUACCUGGAGGCGCAGGUGACGCCGAGGGACCUCUACUACCUGGAGAGCGAGGAGGUGGCACGGCAGCUGGCAAGGCUCGGCUUCAUCGGCUCCAAGGAUGUGCUGCAGCGGGAGGAGUUUGAGGCCCAGCAGGCAGCGGCAGCGGCACUCAUGGCAUCAGCCUCUCAGAAGGUCUGGACAGUUGAAGUUUUUGUAAUGGGAAGGCACUUCACAUGUCCAAUAGCAAAAGAAGAGAACUGGAGGCACUUUUCCCUUAUGAAGUUGUUUCUUGCUUGCUGGAGGUCAUCAGCAAAGAUGCAAGAAGAUUGGGGGCUCCUUCCAUGACUAUCUAGCCCAACUGCCUGACCUCUUCGAGGAAAACCAGGAGAUGAAGCUUAUUCCUGAGGGCAUCGUCCCAGUGUCUUCUGAACAAGUGGCAACCAGAAGUUGGCACAGGAAGGGAAGGCAUAUCCUGAAGAGGAUGGUGAUGAGUGGCAUGGUGGGGCAGGCAUGACUGCCAUUUUGUAAGAGCACCUAAGGAACAAAAACCUUGUCCACUAAGCAUUAGACUAAAGCUGGCAAGAAAUUGUUUCUGUUGAGUGAGAAAAGCCAUUGUGUGGCUGCAAAGCCUGGGUGCAAUGACUAACAUGCAGAAUACCUCUGUCCACUGAUAGAAGUUCUGCUCUGACUGAUGCUGCUUUCCCAGCUGAAAUGAGAAAACAAAUGGAGGCAAGAAGACAGCUGCUAAGACAAGUGGAGUCAUUUUGCUAAUUGUGGUGGUGAGCUACAGGAAGCAAUUAACCUGACACUUUGGCCAGGUUGCUUCAGGGUUUGUCAUAGCUCUGAUCUGAGGAUUUCACUGAACCUUGAAAGAAAAAUAGCCCUGGCUUCUAGUGAGUAAGCGUAGUGUAGGCAGGUGUUGGGCAACGCUUCCACACCACACACUGUAAACGCUAAUUUUGCUGACAUUAAAAUCCCUGGAAGUAUUAUCAGAACUUAUAUUUAAGAUGAAUAAAAUCUUUUUUCCUGGGACA
rnacentral:lncRNA from 1 species